CCUACGGGAGGCAGCAGUGAGGAAUAUUGGUCAAUGGGCGCGAGCCUGAACCAGCCAAGUCGCGUGAGGGAGGACGGCCCUACGGGUUGUAAACCUCUUUUGCCGGGGAGCAACGGGCGCCACGUGUGGCGUCACUGAGAGUACCCGGAGAAAAAGCAUCGGUAAACUCCGUGCCAGCAGCCGCGGUAAUACGGGGGAUGAGAGCGUUAUCCGGAUUUAUUGGGUUUAAAGGGUGCGUAGGCUGAUCGUGAAGUCAGUGGUCAAAUUAAGGGGCUCAACCCCUUCCCGCCAUUGAAACGGGCGUUCUUGAGGGGAAGAGAAGUAUGCGGAAUGCGUGGUGUAGCGGUGAAAUGCAUAGAUAUCACGCAGAACCCCGAUUGCGAAGGCAGCAUGCCGGCUUCCGACUGACGCUGAAGCACGAAAGCGUGGGGAUCGAACAGGAUUAGAUACCCGGGUAGUC
rnacentral:rRNA from 1 species